GAGAAGAAGGUGUUGAUGAUUGUGAUCCCACUUCAAGUCUUGGCUAAUGUGGCCUCGGUCGUGAUCGGCGAGACUGGGCCAUUUAUUAAGGAUUGGGUCACUUGGAAUCAGGUUUUCUUGUUGGUGGAUAUCAUAUGUUGCUGUGCCAUAAUUUUCCCCAUUGUUUGGUCAAUUCGAUCUCUGAGAGAGACAUCGAAAACCGACGGGAAGGCUGCAAGGAAUUUGGCAAAGCUCACUCUUUUCAGGCAGUUCUACAUUGUUGUGAUUGGGUAUUUGUAUUUUACUCGGAUUGUCGUUUUCGCGCUCAAAACCAUUGCAGCAUACAAGUAUCAGUGGGUGAGUAAUGCAGCUGAAGAGAUUGCAAGCCUUGUCUUUUACAUGGUGAUGUUCUAUAUGUUUAGGCCUGUGGAGAGAAAUGAAUACUUUGUUCUCGAUGAGGAAGAAGAAGAGGCUGCAGAGUUGGCUCUCAGGGACGAAGAAUUUGA
rnacentral:misc_RNA from 1 species